rnacentral:misc_RNA from 1 species
AACGCAUAUUGCGCUCGAGGCUUCGGCCAAGAGCAUGUCUGCCUCAGCGUCGGUUUACCCUCAUUGCCCAACACCAUUGUGUGUGUGUGUUCGUGCAAUGGAUCUGGCCAUUCCAGUAAAGCAGCGCGCAUGGGCUUCAGCACAUAUUCAACUGUGUGUCUGUCUGUCGCAUGUAUAAUAGCGCACAUAAGCUCUGGAUUGGCUGAAGAGCAGAGGCUAACCAUGGACCCGCUAUGGGCCGCAACUGGGUAGGCUGAUAUUCAGCAAACGCUUAGUUGUUGGCUUGGGACUCUGGCUCAGCCCUCAACCAGGAAACCCCCAUAAUAAACCAUUCGACCUGAGAUCAGGCAAGAACACCCGCUGAACUUAA